GGCAAAAGGUGAAAGCGAGGCUGUAAAGGCUUCGGCUCAAAGAGGGGUUCGCGUCCUAUCAGGUAGUUGGUGGGUAAUGGCCUACCAAGCCAAUGACGGGUAGCUGGUCUUAGAGGAUGAUCAGCCACAGCGGGACUGAGACACGGCCCGCACCCCUACGGGGGGCAGCAGUGGGGAAUCGUGGGCAAUGGGCGCAAGCCUGACCCCGCAAUGCCGCGUGAGGGAAGAAGCCCUUCGGGGUGUAAACCUCUGUCAGAUGGGAAGAUGGGGCUAGGGGCUAAUACCUCCUGGUCUUGACGGUACCAUCAGAGGAAGGGACGGCUAACUACGUGCCAGCAGCCGCGGUAAUACGUAGGUCCCAAGCGUUUCGCGAUGUUACUGGGCGUAAAGCGUCCGUAGCUGGUUUCGUAAGCGGAUUGUCAAAGCCCGAAGCUCAACUUCGGCAAGGCAUUCCGAACUGCGUUACUUGAGUCCUGUUCAGGUAGGCGGAAUUCCCGGUGUAGCGGUGAAAUGCGUAGAUAUCGGGAGGAACACCAGUGGCGAAGGCGGCCUACUGGGACGGUACUGACGGUCAUGGACGAAAGCUGGGGGAGCAAACCGGAUUAGAUACCCGGGUAGUCCCAGCCGUAAACGAUGGAUGUUAGGUGUAGUGAUAACUUCGCUGCACCCCAGCUAACGCGUUAAACAUCCCGCCUGGGGAGUUCGGGCGCAAGCCUGAAACUCAAAGGAAUUGGCGGGGGCCCGCACAACCGGUGGAGCGUCUGGUUUAAUUCGAUGCUAACCGAAAAACCUUACCAGGAUUUGAAAUGGUAGGAAAGGCUGUCGAAAGAUAGCCGUGUUUCCCUUUUGGGAGAAAUCCUACCACAGGUGGUGCAUGGCCGUCGUCAGCUCGUGUUGUGAGAUGUUGGGUUAAGUCCCGCAACGAGCGCAACCCUUGUCCUUAUUUGCUUCCUCGUAUGAGGUGCUCUAUAAGGAGACUGCCGGCGACAAGCCGGAGGAAGGAGGGGACGACGUCAGGUCAGUAUGCCCUUUUUGCUCUGGGCUACACAGGCGCUACAGUGGCAAGGACAAUGAGUAGCAAGAGUGCAAGCUCAAGCUAAUCUCACAAACCUUGUCGUGGUGCGAAUUGAAGGUUGUAACUCACCUUCAUGAAGCCGGAAUCGGUAGUAAUGGCGCAUCAGCUAUGUCGCCGUGAAUACGUUCCCCGGGCCUU
rnacentral:rRNA from 1 species